GCGCAGAGGCUCCUGGGAGAGAGGCGAGAGGAGACGGAGCCGUAGCCAGAAACUGCUGCGGGUUUGGACUCCGAGGUCUUGAGAAAAACUAAAGAUAUUUGGGUUUAUUGGACAAACAUCUUGAGCCACAUCGAGAAAUGAAAUCAUGAGAUGAGAAAAAUGUUUCUGAAGUUCGUGGAAUAUGUUCAUAAUCUUGCCAAUUAAGAAAUGCUGGUGCCUAGCAGCCUUCCCUGGUGAAUAAGGUCACUUCUUUAAGAACCUCAAGAUGCUUUGGAAAUCCAGAAGAGGGAAUCCACCUAAAUCUGUUCCAAAAUGGUGAGUAGUAGGACCUGGACCUCACCUCCUCCCACAAGAACAUGAAAAUCACAAUUAACUGGAAUAAUCUCGUUAAGAUUUGUAAAAUAAAUAUUUAGCAGGGAAUGAAAAUUUCAUCACGAGGAGGUACUGGAUGCAAAGAUACAUCAAUAAAUGCACUGGUGGGGAGAUCCCAUCAUGGCUCAGUGGAAACGAAUCUGACUAGCAUCCACGAGGACACAGGUUCCAUGGAUC